AAACGUAGGAGGCAAGCGUUAUCCGGAUUUAUUGGGCGUAAAGCGCGUGCAGGCGGCUUGGUAAGUUGGAUGUGAAAGCUCCUGGCUUAACUAGGAGAGGUCGUUCAAUACUAUCAAGCUAGAGAAUGGGAGAGGGAAGUGGAAUUCCGGGUGUAGUGGUGAAAUGCGUAGAUAUCCGGAGGAACACCAGUGGCGAAAGCGGCUUCCUGGACCAUUUCUGACGCUAAGACGCGAAAGCUAGGGGAGCGAACGGGAUUAGAGACCCCGGUAGUCCUAGCUGUAAACGAUGUAGACUUGGCGUUGGCGGAGUUAAAUCUGCCAGUGCCGGAGCUAACGCGUUAAGUCUACCGCCUGGGGACUACGACCGCAAGGUUAAA
rnacentral:rRNA from 1 species